rnacentral:tRNA from 7 species
AAAAUCCGUUGACCGUAAAAGGUCGUGUGGGUUC